rnacentral:rRNA from 1 species
GACGAACGCUGGCGGCGUGCUUAACACAUGCAAGUCGAACGGAAAGGCCCUGCUUUUGUGGGGUGCUCGAGUGGCGAACGGGUGAGUAACACGUGAGUAACCUGCCCUUGACUUUGGGAUAACUUCAGGGAACUGGGGCUAAUACCGGAUAGGAGCUCCUGCUGCAUGGUGGGGGUUGGAAAGUUUCGGCCGUUGGGGAUGGACUCGCGGCUUAUCAGCUUGUUGGUGGGGUAGUGGCUUACCAAGGCUUUGACGGGUAGCCGGCCUGAGAGGGUGACCGGCCACCUUGGGCCUGAGGUACGGCCCAGACUCCUACGGGAGGCAGCGGUGGGGAAUCUUGCACAAUGGGCGGACGCCUGAGGCGGCAACGCCGCGUGCGUGAUGCCGGCCUUCGGGUUGUAAACCGCUUUCGCCUGUGACGAAGCGUGAGUGACGGUAAUGGGUAAAGAAGCACCGGCUAACUACGUG